CCUACGGGAGGCAGCAGUGGGGAAUAUUGGACAAUGGGCGAAAGCCUGAUCCAGCAAUGCCGCGUGAGUGAUGAAGGCCUUCGGGUCGUAAAGCUCUUUUACCAGGGAUGAUAAUGACAGUACCUGGAGAAUAAGCUCCGGCUAACUCCGUGCCAGCAGCCGCGGUAAUACGGAGGGAGCUAGCGUUGUUCGGAAUUACUGGGCGUAAAGAGUACGUAGGCGGUUAUUCAAGUCAGAGGUGAAAGCCCGGGGCUCAACCCCGGAACUGCCUUUGAAACUAGAUAACUAGAGUCUUGGAGAGGUUAGUGGAAUUCCGAGUGUAGAGGUGAAAUUCGUAGAUAUUCGGAAGAACACCAGUGGCGAAGGCGACUAACUGGACAAGUACUGACGCUGAGGUACGAAAGCGUGGGGAGCAAACAGGAUUAGAUACCCUGGUAGUCCACGCCGUAAACGAUGAUAACUAGUUGUUCGGUCACUUGGUGACUGAGUGACGCAGCUACGCAUUAAGUUAUUCCGUCCGUGGGUAGGUACGGUCGCGAAGAAUUAAACUACAAGAAGUUAGUACGGCGUGAGACGUCGCGACGGACGACGACGAGGGAGUAGG
rnacentral:rRNA from 1 species